GUGACUGAGUGGCGGACGGGUGAGUAACGCGUGGGUAACCUGCCCUAUACAGGGGGAUAACAGUUGGAAACGGCUGCUAAUACCGCAUAAGCGCACAGCUUCGCAUGAAGCAGUGUGAAAAACUCCGGUGGUAUAGGAUGGACCCGCGUCUGAUUAGGUAGUUGGUGGGGUAACGGCCUACCAAGCCGACGAUCAGUAGCCGACCUGAGAGGGUGACCGGCCACAUUGGGACUGAGACACGGCCCAAACUCCUACGGGAGGCAGCAGUGGGGGAUAUUGCACAAUGGGGGAAACCCUGAUGCAGCGACGCCGCGUGAGCGAAGAAGUAUUUCGGUAUGUAAAGCUCUAUCAGCAGGGAAGAAGAAAUGACGGUACCUGACUAAGAAGCUCCGGCUAAAUACGUGCCAGCAGCCGCGGUAAUACGUAUGGAGCAAGCGUUAUCCGGAUUUACUGGGUGUAAAGGGAGCGUAGGCGGCGAGAUAAGUCUGAUGUGAAAGCCCGGGGCUCAACCCCGGGACUGCAUUGGAAACUGUCUUGCUGGAGUGUCGGAGGGGUAAGUGGAAUUCCUAGUGUAGCGGUGAAAUGCGUAGAUAUUAGGAGGAACACCCGGUGGCGAAGGCGGCUUACUGGACGAUCACUGACGCUGAGGCUCGAAAGCGUGGGGAGCAAACAAGAUUAGAUACCCUGGUAGUCCACGCUGUAAACGAAUGAAUACUAGGUGU
rnacentral:rRNA from 1 species